rnacentral:rRNA from 1 species
CCCUUAGAUGUCCUGGGCCGCACGCGCGCUACAAUGAUGAAUUCAACGAGUUUAUAACCUUGGUUGAAAAGCCUGGGUAAUCUUUUGAACUUUCGUCGUGAUGGGGCUAGACCCUUGCAAUUAUUGGUCUCCAACGAGGAAUUCCUAGUAAACGCAAGUCAUCAGCUUGCAUUGAUUACGUCCCUGCCCUUUGUACACACCGCCCGUCGCACCUACCGAUUGAAUGGUCCGGUGAAAUCUUCGGAUUGAGACUUUGUUUUCUUCACGGAAAACGCUGUUUUAAAAAGUUGAUUAAACCUUACCAUUUAGAGGAAGGUGAAGUCGUAACA